rnacentral:rRNA from 1 species
CAUGGCCCUUACGACCAGGGCUACACACGUGCUACAAUGGUCGGUACAAAGGGUUGCUACCUAGCGAUAGGAUGCUAAUCUCAAAAAGCCGAUCGUAGUCCGGAUUGGAGUAUGCAACUCGACUCCAUGAAGUCGGAAUCGCUAGUAAUCGCGGAUCAGAAUGCCGCGGUGAAUACGUUCCCGGGCCUUGUACACACCGCUUCGUCACACCAUGGGAA